rnacentral:tRNA from 1 species
UACUAAGAAAAGGAUUUAAACCUUUAUAUGAGCAUUU